rnacentral:lncRNA from 1 species
GUGGCGUCAGCGCAAGAUGGCGGCCUCGGCAGCUCUCUUCUCGCGCUUGCGGAGCGGGCUCCGGGUAGGCGCGCGGGGACUGUGCACGCGGCUGGCGCCGCCACCUCCCCGCACUCCAGAACAGGUUACUGAGAUCGCCAACCGUGGGGGCUCCAAGACCCAAGGGCCACAGCAUCAGCCAGGCUCAGAGGGUCCCAGCUAUGCCAAAAAAGUUGCACUGUGGAUUGCUGGUUUGCUUGGGGCUGGUGGGACUGUCAGCAUCGUCUACAUUUUUGGAAACAACCCCGUGGAUGAAAAUGGCACCAAG